CCUACGGGAGGCAGCAGUGAGGAAUAUUGGUCAAUGGGCGCGAGCCUGAACCAGCCAAGUCGCGUGAGGGAAGACGGUCCUAUGGAUUGUAAACCUCUUUUGUCGGGGAGCAAAAGACGCCACGCGUGGCGUUCCGAGAGUACCCGAAGAAAAAGCAUCGGCUAACUCCGUGCCAGCAGCCGCGGUAAUACGGAGGAUGCGAGCGUUAUCCGGAUUUAUUGGGUUUAAAGGGUGCGCAGGCGGAAGAUCAAGUCAGCGGUAAAAUUGAGGGGCUCAACCUCUUCGAGCCGUUGAAACUGGUUGUCUUGAGUGAGUGAGAAGUAUGCGGAAGGCGUGGUGUAGCGGUGAAAUGCAUAGAUAUCACGCAGAACUCCGAUUGCGAAGGCAGCAUACCGGCGCUCAACUGACGCUCAUGCACGAAAGUGUGGGUAUCGAACAGGAUUAGAUACCCCGGUAGUC
rnacentral:rRNA from 1 species